GCUCUGCAGGGUGCAGCUUUAUACGACCGCAGUGGUCGAACCCUGAACAGUUGGGCCAAAGUUGGUCACAACUUUCAAGCUUGAUACUGUCUGAAUUUUGAGUGUGAUCACAUUUUUGACAUAAUAUAGGUUUUUGUCACAAUAUAAAUGUGGUCAAAGAUUUAAAAAAUCUAUUGCACAAUACUGUGCAAUUGAAGAUUUCUUCUUUAAAC
rnacentral:lncRNA from 1 species